UCCGUAGGUGAACCUGCGGAAGGAUCAUUGUCGU
rnacentral:rRNA from 1 species